rnacentral:rRNA from 1 species
GCGCACGCUGGCGGCAGGCCUAACACCUGCAAGUCGAACGCACCUUUCGGGGUUAGUGGCGGGCGGGUGAGUAACACGUGGGAACGUGCCUUUAGGUUCGGAAUAACUCAGGGAAACUUGUGCUAAUACCGAAUGUGCCCUUCGGGGGAAAGAUUUAUCGCCUUUAGAGCGGCCCGCGUCUGAUUAGCUAGUUGGUUGAGGUAAUGGCUCACCAAGGCGACGAUCAGUAGCUGGUCUGAGAGGAUGAUCAGCCACAUUGGGACUGAGACACGGCCCAAACUCCUACGGGAGGCAGCAGUGGGGAAUCUUGCGCAAUGGGCGAAAGCCUGACGCAGCCAUGCCGCGUGAAUGAUGAAGGUCUUAGGAUUGUAAAAUUCUUUCACCGGGGACGAUAAUGACGGUACCCGGAGAAGAAGCCCCGGCUAACUUCGU